CCUACGGGCGGCAGCAGUGAGGAAUAUUGGUCAAUGGGCGCGAGCCUGAACCAGCCAAGUCGCGUGAGGGAAGACGGUCCUAUGGAUUGUAAACCUCUUUUGUCGGGGAGCAAAAGACGCCACGCGUGGCGGUCCGAGAGUACCCGAAGAAAAAGCAUCGGCGAACUCCGUGCCAGCAGCCGCGGUAAUACGGGGGAUGCGAGCGUUAUCCGGAGUUAUUGGGGUAAAAGGGUGCGCAGGCGGAAGAUCAAGUCAGCGGUAAAAGUGAGAGGCUCAACCUCUUCGAGCCGUUGAAACUGGUUUUCUUGAGUGAGUGAGAAGUAUGCGGAAUGCGUGGUGUAGCGGUGAAAUGCAUAGAUAUCACGCAGAACUCCGAUUGCGAAGGCAGCAUACCGGCGCUCAACUGACGCUCAUGCACGAAAGUGUGGGUAUCGAACAGGAUUAGAUACCCCAGUAGUC
rnacentral:rRNA from 1 species